rnacentral:rRNA from 1 species
CACGAAGGGGGCGAGCGUUGUUCGGAAUUACUGGGCGUAAAGGGCGCGCAGGCGGCUCUGAAAGUCAGAUGUGAAAGCCCCGGGCUUAACCUGGGAAUUGCAUUUGAUACUCUGGAGCUUGAGUGUGGGAGAGGAGAGUGGAAUUCCCAGUGUAGCGGUGAAAUGCGUAGAUAUCGGGAGGAACACCUGUGGCGAAAGCGGCUCACUGGACCACAACUGACGCUGAGGCGCGAAAGCUAGGGGAGCAAACAGG